UCAGCAUCAGGUAGAGCAUGUAGAGAUGCUGCAGCUCGCGCUAUGCGGGGUUGGCACUCACAACGUCUACUAGGCAAUGGUGAAGUUGGUGACGCCAUUAUUAAGGAUAGGAAUUCUGUGUCUAUGCAAAAACGUGAAAAGGAGCAGCUUAAAAGCAUCAAUUUACUUAAACGCAAGAAACCGUCGUAUAUGGACAAUGCAGUCAAAGCUGCACGUAGUAAACCGUGUA